rnacentral:rRNA from 1 species
GACGAACGCUGGCGGCGUGCUUAACACAUGCAAGUCGUACGGUAAGGCCCUUUCGGGGGUACACGAGUGGCGAACGGGUGAGUAACACGUGAGUAACCUGCCCACAACUUUGGGAUAACGCUAGGAAACUGGUGCUAAUACUGGAUAUGUGCUCCUGCUGCAUGGUGGGGGUUGGAAAGCUCCGGCGGUUGUGGAUGGACUCGCGGCCUAUCAGCUUGUUGGUGGGGUAGUGGCCUACCAAGGCGGCGACGGGUAGCCGGCCUGAGAGGGUGACCGGCCACAUGGGGACUGAGAUACGGCCCAGCCUCCUACGGGGGGAAGCGGUGGGGAAUAUUGCACAAUGGGGGCAGGCCUGUUGCAGCACCGCCGCGGGGGGGAUAACGGCCUUCGGGUGUUAACCGCUUUCAGCAGGGACGAAGCUUUUUGUGACGGUACCUGCAGAAGAAGCACCGGCUAACUACGUG